AGAGAGAGAGAGAGAGAGAUGUACCAACUACUGAUAAUAUUUUACUAUACCAUGUAAGACUGCAGCAUUUAUGCAACUAAGGCAGAGUUGAACAUGCAAAUAAAUUUUGUUUCAUUGAACAAUAACAACUACAGAUUCAUAUAGAUUUCAACAGUAAAAAAUUUUCAUUUUCAUGAAACAAAACUCUACUGCCAUCUCUUCCAGCAAGUGCAGUGAAAAGAUCAUGCAGCUAUACCAAAAAUCUGCCGUGAAACAAACAAAAACAAGCAUACAUAAAUCGACUUGCCACCAUAAAAAAAAAUAACCCCAAUUACUUUCGUUUGCAUUAAGGCAACAAAUAAAUAAGUUGGCCCCAUCAUAACUAUCAAAUAACUUAUAAUGUCCUUUGAUAGGUUGGAAAGAAGAAGAGAACCAACUUACAUUGUUUUGUCAGAAUUUGCCCAUGCAGAAGACUACAUAAUUUAUCUAUAUAACAAUUUUCUACGUAUUUUUCUAGUAUAAUCCCCGUUUUUGGUUGAUUUCUGAUGCCAAAAGAGCCAUUUGCUAGGUUCGAAUUUCCAAGUUCUCAGACUUCUCUGAAUGAGGCCCAUGAGCCAGUGAUUUGUACUCCAAGCUCUUAGAUUUAUCUAUUUCUUCUGUUAGAAAUCCAGAAUUUCCUGAUCUCACCAUCUGCUCAACCUGGGUUCCAUGCACUGCUGUUCCAAUUUCAUUUUCAGUAUCAGUAGUCCUUUCCGUAUCUUGUUUGGUAUCAUCAACAUUCUGUAAGAAAGGACUGGCUAAAAAAAGCUUUUCCCAUGCACCAUCAUCAUAUAAUUCCGGUGGAAUAAAUGGGGCAUGAUUUUCAAACAAAGAUGAAUUUUCAUCCAUAAGCAAUUUCAUAAAAUCAGGACUCAAGAAAGAAUCUUUCUCAUCAGAAAAAGUGUUAGAUUCUUCUGGUUUUUCUGAAACCAUAGGUGUAGGCAUCUCAUUCAUUUGUGGUGGCUGGUACCUUAUUAUCAUCCCAUCAGAAGCUAAUUGUUCUUCAUCUGCACCUUGUUCCACUAUGCUUCCUGGUUCAGCCAUCCGCCAGUUGUUCUCUUUGGGGUGAAGCAACUGAACCAGAAAUCCUGGACUUUGCAUUACCAUAACUAAAAAUGACAGCAUCUGCUGCUGAUUUUUUUCCAUUCCUUGAACUUUAUCUCUCAAAAGGAGUAAGUUAUUAUCUGCAUUUUCCUGGUGCUGCCUAAGAUUAAUCAACUCCUGCAUCAGUGCAUUUUUGUCAGUCUUCAGAUUCUCAAUUUUCUUCCAUAGCCCCUCAUUUUCAGUUUUGCCAAAAGGCUCAACUGAGCUAUCCUGCUGCUGCAAUUCUUUUUGAUUGACAGUGAAUUGAGAAUGUUUUCUUCUGGAGAUGUUCUUUAACAAUUGUUUUUGAUUUCUGAUAAAUCCAUCAUUUGCAAACUCCCAGCGAUCUGUAUCAAUUUUCCUGAAGCCCUGAAAAUGUUUAUGGUUGCUAAAUCUUUACUACCAUAAUAUUAUUUCAAUUUUCGCAGUUAGCAGUCGCACAUGGCCCACAUGGCAACAUAUUAUGAUCAAUCAAAUACAUCUGCAAAUGGCAUAUGGUACAAGUAGAGAAAAAUUUAGGAAUUAGAUAAAUUUUCCUUCACUUAAGAAGUUUAUAAGUUUUGAGAGGCCAUGAAAUUACUCUAGCAAAAAAUUUUACAGAUAAGUAUCGGCAUAAAGAGCCAUAAUUCUCAUAUGUUCAAAUGAAAACAAGAACCUGAAACCAAAGGUCAAGAGCAAAUGCACUGGCUAUAUUUUAGCAGGACAAACCCCAAAUUAAAUUUUUUAUAAUCCCAAAUCAUUGUCAUGUUAAAAGAACAUAAUUCUAGAACAAAAUCUGUAUUGCAUCUUAUAUAAUCCCAAAACUUUCCUUCCUUCAGACAGAAAAAUUCAAACCAAGAACUUUCCCAAUCCCAAAACUAAAAACCGAAUAAAGUCAAAACAAAGCUUGUAAACCCUGAUACCCAGUAAAAAUUAAAUUUCACAAAGUAACAUUAAUUAGAGAAGAAAAUCUAAGAGGUUCAAUUAGGAUAAUUUGAGGAGAAAAUUUUCAAUUAGGUUAAUUGUUGUUUUAAGCAAAUAUAUUUACCAAACAAACUCUUAAUGAACUAACAUGAGAAAUUCCAUAGAAAUAACAAUUGAAAAACAUCAGUCUUCACAGUAAACAAUGCCCCCAGAAUGAUUGUAACUUGUAAACAUAAGUAGGUGGCUCCGCAUCAUGAUUCUAGCCAACACUGAUUUAGCUAUUGUCACUAUUUGCCUAUUUCAUCCUAGCCAGCCUGGUUUCAGCCAGGACUCCAAAAAAGCAAAAUAAAAGAAAAAAGAAGCAAAAAUUAUCACAACAUUGAUCAUAAAACAUUUAUUAAGCAAACAAAAUCUUGUGGAUUCACAGCAUAAGCUACAUAUCAAAACAAUAAGCAAAGGCUAUAAUUUGAAGUAGCAGACUUUCUAAGCAGAAGGCAAACAACAAGCAAUCAGUAGAUCUUUGUUAAUCCAAGUAUCCAACAGUGCAGGCCUCCCAAAAAUUGAUUCCUUAAUCAAAUGGGUGUUGGAUGGUUGGAAAGGUAUCCCUCGCUGAUCCUUCCCACAAUAUUAAGGGAAAUGCUUUAAUAAGAUGAUUCUAAAUGCUGACAAAGGGCACUUGCUCAAAAUUCAUGAACCAAGCUAUUCACCCUAAGUUCCCAAAACAUAAGAACACCUAAAACACAAUACCUCUGUACUCUCUCUGCUGUCAACAACAACAAUACCAGUGUUUGAAAGCCAUGUGUAAGUUCUCAAUACAUUUCUAUAAUGUUCAAAGCAAGAGUGGAUAAGUACAUCUUCCAUAUUUUUGACUCCAUCAUUAAAAUGCAACAUUGAUGAGAAAUUAGCAACCUAUCAUUUGCAGAGGAGAAUUCAACCUUUAGUUUGUAUCUAGCAUCCCCAGAUAACAUAAUUCUCCUCACCAAAUUGCUCGGAAAUAGUCCACUCAUUCCAUACCGUUACUAAUUAGAAGACAGAUGCAUACUUUUAUAUCCACAAAAGAAGCCAAGAUAGACUUUAUCCCUUGCAUAUUAUAAAUAGACAGUGAACAUACUUAUAAAACCACUAGAGAUCAAUAUCAAUGCCACACUUCUUCACUGAAAAUUUGCGAAAAAAAAUCAAUUAUCUGCUGACUUUAAUUUUGAUAAAAAAGAACUUCAACAACGAAAAUGAGCAAGUUAGUCAGAUACUUGUAGAUUCUAUUUUUCAAAAAAAUUUUGACAGGUACAGUCUUAAUUUACGCAAUUUAAAACACCCAGAUAUAAAUUAAUCAAAAACCCAUAAAUGAACACCAGACCACACAACUAGAACACGCUAAAGCAACUUAAAAUCAUACAAAACGAAAUUUAUCUACCCACUAAAGCAAACAGAGAUUAUUAGAAAAGGAAAACUUACAUAGAUAUUAAGCUGCCUGAUAAAGCUAGAAGAAUUGCUGUGCUUGAAGUACUUGGGCAGCAAUUGAAUAGAAAAUUCAGUCAUAUCCCAUAUAAUGAAGCUAUCAUUAUUUUGGCUCCAUGAAAUAAUCGAAUUUGUGGACUCAUCAUCUACCAUAUCGUAGCAUUUUUUAAGAAAAGGAGCCACUGAUAGAGACCCACCAUCUCCUGAUUUCACCAUGUGUUAAUGAUGGUUACAGAACCCACAAAAUCAAGAGAUUUCUGAGGCAGAAAGAAACAGAAAAUGGUGUGUACCCUUGCAAAGUCUUUGGAGUCAAGCAAUCAUAGGAUAAAUACAUGAAGCGGAGAAAGAGAACUAGAGAAGGG
rnacentral:misc_RNA from 1 species